rnacentral:snRNA from 1 species
AACCUCAUCUUGGGUUGCAGCUAUGCCAUAUGAGAUUAUACUGCGAAUUCUGUAAGAUUUGACCCCUGCGAUUGCCCCUAAUGUGGGUAACUCGGGCGCGCAAUUUUUGGUAGUCUGGACUGCGUACGCGCCGUCCCGG